AUUCAACGGCCGCGGUAUCCUAACCGUGCAAAGGUAGCGUAAUCACUUGUUCUUUAAAUGAGGACUAGUAUGAAUGGCAUCACGAGGGUUACACUGUCUCCCCUUUCUAAUCAGUGAAACUAAUCUUCCCGUGAAGAAGCGGGAAUUUAAAUAUAAGACGAGAAGACCCUAUGGAGCUUUAAACUAAACAGCAAUUGUUCUUUUUAUACUGUCUUCAGAGAUUUAACUUUUAUUCUUGCACCAUGCUCAUUAGUUUUCGGUUGGGGUGACCACGGAGCAAAAAAUAACCUCCGCGACGAAAGAAAUUUGAUUUCUUAACCCAGAAUUACAAUUCUACGUAUCAAAAAUUUGACAUAUAUUGAUCCAAUCAAUUGAUCAACGAACCAAGUUACCCUAGGGAUAACAGCGCAAUCCACUUCAAGAGCUCCUAUCGACAAGUGGGUUUACGACCUCGAUGUUGGAUCAGGGUAUCCCAGUGGUGUAGCCGCUACUAAAGGUUCGUUUGUUCAACGAUUAAAACCC
rnacentral:rRNA from 1 species